GGGCGCCCGGCAGCAGCAGCGCCUCAGACCCGCCACCCAUCGCUGGAUGUUCCUCCACUUUACCCACCGUAUCAAACAACUUUUACCAGUAAAUAUCGGUUUAUUCCUGAAACCAGAAGCCCUAAACAUACCUUUGUUUAUAAGGUCAGUUGGCAUUUUGUCUCUCUCAUUCCCCACUCCCCCCAGUACAACCCAGCAGGUGGCUGAAAGGUACCGAGUUCUCUUUCUAGUUUUCCUGCUCUGCAUCUCUGGGAACUGGAGCCCGCAGGACCUAGAGCCUUCUAUUGGUAAUGUAGAUCCGAGUUUACAAAUUAUUCUUUUACCAUUUUAAAUCCUGCUUUUAAGGACAGAGGUCUUCCCACCUGCCCACCACGGGAGCUGGUAGAAACCCCUAAAUUGCUCCUCCUCUCUGAAGCCUGCGGGUAGGUCUCUCACUAGCAUCUUCAGCCUUGGGGCUGAGAAAAUAAUUUAUCCCAAAUUAUACACUAAAAACUGCCAUUUCUGGCUUAUGUGAGCAGGACUGGGGGAGGGAAGGGCGGGAAAGGAGUUUGAAACUUACUUUUCUCCCCCUUUUUCCUAGAAAGCAGAUGUGACAUGGGGAGGAGGGAGAGAAUGUGAAUGUGGCCCUUCCUAAACUCAUUGUAAACUCCUCCUCCGAGGCUGGGAAAAAGGGCAAGUAAAACAUCUGAUCCUUAAAAGGACAUCACUGGGUGUCUGAGACCCCAAAAGCAGCUGGCGAAUUUUAAGGACUCAAAUUGCUUUUGGUUUAUCCCGAGACAAAUUGACUUGGGAGUGUUGAAGCCUCCUUUCUCCCCUUAAGUAUUUGCCACCCAAACACUGCACAUUUUGUUAAUGCCCCGGAAACAGAAAACCUGAUGAGGGAUAGAAAAUGAGUUGACUGCACAGUCCCGGCCAAUUUUUUUUCUCCCAAGUAAACAAAAUGCAAAAAAAAUUUUUAAAAAAACCAAACCAAAGCCCUUCCCCCAAAAAAGACCUCCUCAAAAAGCAAGUCAAAGAGGAUCUCAAAUGCCCAGUCUGGUUUUAUUGUACAUUGUUGACAAGGGUGUUUUUGGUAUAGCUGCAGCCCUACAAUGUCCCUUUAAGGAGCACUGUGGCUCUUUUCCUCCUCACGAACCCCAAGCUGAGGGUUUUGCCAUUCCUGAGAGCAGAUCGAAGCUCCUGCAACCUUAGUUGGAAUCCAGAAUGAGGGGAGCCCUUCCAGCUGUGCACUUUGAGCUGAAAACUACCUUUCCUCCCCUUUUGCAGCCUGGGUGGUUCUGAUUGCUGGCAGUUCUGUAAUACAACCUUAAUCUGAGCAGUUGAGGCUGGUCCUACCUUAUCUUCAGACGUCUUGCGGAGGACUCCUGUUACCAGUUUGGUACUCAAAAGCUACACCCCACGAUCAGAAGUCACUUUUUUGGUUUUUUUCCAAAGGCAGUGAUAGCUCACCCUCUCUAGCUCUAAUGGAAACCUGAUAAUUGCAAUGCAACUUUCUAAUAAAUUGUUCAUAUAUUCAUAAUUCCGUUGCAAUCCCAAAUUGGAGAAGAGAUCUGUUAAAGUGCACUGGUGUACCAAGCCUCAGAACCACUGCUUUCUCCAGCUCAUAGGAUGCUUUUCCAGACUGUGGAUACGUGUAUGUGUACUGCUGUGUUGAUAAGUAAAUGCCAACGAUGGAGUUCGUUGCUUUUAUACAUCCCAAAGAGAAGUUCUCCACCGUUCACUGUCUGUUUUCUGACCGAAAAGGCGUGUGUUUGUGAACAGUGUUCACGCCAGCUCUGCCAUCCCACCCUCACAUCAGCUCACACCAAGGCCAGGAUGGGAGGAGUUGCCUGCGUACCUUCCCCAAAACACCCCGGGCCGCAGUGGCAUCGUCAGGGAGCAGUUCAAACCUGUGUCCUUUGGGCUUUGUGUAAAGCAAAUGCAGAACAAGAAAAAUCGAGAUGUUAAAUCCAUUAGAAAACAAAUUCCUUAUUGUACAGUAGUAUGGAGAUCUCUAGUCAACCUGCCAUUAAUAAUAGAUUCUUAUUUUUUGAAUGAUCUAUUUAAAAGAACAGCAAGCAUUGUAUUUGCUAGUAAAUCUGAAGUGUUUACAUGGAAUUACUAAAUAAAUUAUUUGAUCUAAGAUGGCUCUUAUCAGUGCUGAUUUUUAAUAAUGGAAAUUCAGUUUGGCAGCUUCAGUUCGUGCUGUUCUUUAAAAUCUCACAAAGCAUGUUUUGUUAUUUUUUUCACUGCAUCCUUGUGGUUCAAAUUAGGUUCUGGGGAAGAGGCAAACCACACCUCUCCCUGCAAGGCCUGACAGGAGUGCUAGCUCGCAUUUUCCAACCCCUUCCAUGAGGCUUUCCCUUCGCAUCCCAAACAGCUGAGACAGAGCAGGAUGCUCUGAGCCCAAAUCCCUGCAGUUCUCACCAGGUCUGGGGCCUGGAGACACACAGGGUGGGGGUUUUUUAGCAGAAAGCUUUGGGAUAGAAGUAGGACAUCCUCCUGUGAGGUAAUGAGUUGUCACACUCAGUCCCAGUGCGGCUUGGUCCUGCUUCCUGCUGUUCCAAGGCUGCUGGAACAGGCUGCUCAGGGUCCAUGGAUCUGCAGGCAGUCACCAGAGGCUGGAGCAGAUGAGGGCUUUGGAUCAUCAGCAAGGCCAAAGGCAAAUUUAGGAGCUCUCACCCCUUCCAAGCCCCGCUUUCUGACAUGGGGGAGCUGCCUGUGCAGCCCCCAAAGCUCCCUGGAGCUCCAGGGCUUGAGGAUGCUGCCCUGCCCUGGGACUCCCACCCAGGGUGGAGGGGGUGCAGGUGGAGAGCAGCAGGAGGGAGAGGCUGGAUGCUCAAAUCCCUGCAGCAGGAGCAGCAGAAGAGCAGGCAG